ensembl:miRNA
UAUUGGGUUGGCCAAAAAGUUCAUUCAGGUUUUUCCAUACCAUCUUCUAAAAAAACUCAAAUGAACUUUUUGGCCAAUCCAGU